rnacentral:rRNA from 1 species
UACGUAGGGGGCAAGCGUUGUCCGGAUUUAUUGGGCGUAAAGAGCGUGUAGGCGGCCAGACAGGUCCGUUGUGAAAACUCGAGCUCAACCUCGAGACGCCGGUGGAAACUGCAAAGCUAGAGUCCGGAAGAGGAGAGUGGAAUUCCUGGUGUAGCGGUGAAAUGCGCAGAUAUCAGGAAGAACACCCGUGGCGAAGGCGGCUCUCUGGGACGGUACUGA